GGCGCCAGCACUAGGCUACUAUAUCAACAGACAUAGGAUUCUGGAUAGGUACUCGGAGACUCCAGGGCUUGGCCUACACCAUGGACGAACAGCGGACACCCAGAGAGCUAAAUGUCUCCUACCGGCUAAGACAAGGGCUUUUGUCUUCCUGGGCUCAUCUAAAAGACUCUUCAUGCAGUUAACAUACUUAUCUCUCCUGUAAACUUACAAUCUCCAGGAAACCCACUCAGAUCGACCUCUCGUGGAUCAAACAGACUCUAUCCAGGUAAGUACACCUGCCAAUCACUAAGUUCCUGUAGGAGGCUGUAGCCUCCCCUUUAGGCUGCCCGAGCUGCACCUUAAAGAUGGCGCCUGCCAGAUGCAGAGCUGGUGGUGUAAACAAGUCCAUAUUCGGUGGAGACGUGCCCCUGCCGCCCUGAUUGGCUG
rnacentral:lncRNA from 1 species